AUGGAGUUUGUGCUGAGCUGGAUUUUCCUUGUUGCAAUUUUAAAAGGUGAUUUAUGGAGAAUGAGAGAUACUGAUGUCGAAUUUGAGGUGCAGCUGGUGGAGUCUGGGGGACGCUUGGUACAGCCUGGGGGGUCCCUGAGACUCUCCUGUGCAGCCUCUGGAUUCACCUUCAGUAGCUAUGCUAUGCACUGGGUCCGCCAGGCUACAGGGAAGGGUUUGGAGUGGGUCUCAGUUAUUAGUACAAGUGGUGGUACCUUAUUCUACACAGACUUUGUGAAGGGCCGAUUCACCAUCUCCAGAGACAAUGCCCAUAACUCACUGUAUCAGCAAAUGAACAGCCUGAGAGCCGAGGACACGGCUGUGUAUUACUGUGCAAGAGAGGCAGUGAGAAGUCAGUGUGAGCCCAGACACAAACCUCCCUGUAGGAUACCUGGGACAACCAGGGAAAGCCUGGGACACUGUGUACUGGGGUGUCCCCAGGGGCAAGUGCAGGUGGUGUAA